CUCCUGCUGCUGGCGGCCCUUCCAGGGCUCCGGGCGGCCGUGACCCUGCUGGAGUCCGGGGGGGACCUCCAGCCCCCCGGGGGGUCCCUGCGCCUCCUCUGCCGAGGACAGGGAUUCCAAUUUGGGGAUUUUGGGAUGUUCUGGAUCCGCCAGAAACCCGGGAAGGCGCUGGAAUGGCUCGCAGGGAUCAGCAGCACUGGUCGUUACACCGACUACGCUCCAUCCGUGAAGGGCCGGUUCACCAUCAGCAGGGACAACGGGCAGAGCUCGGUGACGCUGAGCAUGAACAACCUCCAGGACGAGGAUUCCGGGGUUUAUUUCUGUGCCAAAACCUUUGGAAAUAGUUGGAACCCUGCUGCUCUUGGUCACGGUUUCGAUGCCGGCGCCGGCCCCAAGCCGCCGUCGUUGGUGGAAACCAAAUGUCCCUGA